CGUUGCUCGGAAUCACUGGGCGUAAAGCGCACGUAGGCGGAUUGUUAAGUCAGGGGGGAAAUCCUGGAGCUCAACUCCAGAACUGCCUUUGAUACUGGCGAUCUUGAGUCCGGGAGAGGUGAGUGGAACUGCGAGUGUAGAGGUGAAAUUCGUAGAUAUUCGCAAGAACACCAGUGGCGAAGGCGGCUCACUGGCCCGGUACUGACGCUGAGGUGCGAAAGCGUGGGGAGCAAACAGG
rnacentral:rRNA from 1 species